GAUGAAGAACGCAGCGAAAUGCGAUAAGUAAUGUGAAUUGCAGAAUUCAGUGAAUCAUCGAAUCUUUGAACGCACCUUGCGCCCCUUGGCAUUCCGAGGGGCACGCCUGUUUGAGUGUCGUGAACUCCUCCACCCUCCACCUUUUUCGGAAGGUGUUGGGCUGGGAUUUGGGAGCUUGCGGGUCCCUGGCCGAUCCGCUCUCCUUGAAUACAUUAGCGAAGCCCUUGCGGCCUUGGUGUGAUAGUCAUCUACGCCUCGGUUUAGCGAACAUACGGGAAUCGCUUCCAACCGUCUCGCAAGAGACAAUCACUUCAAACUUGACCUCAAAUCAGGCGGGACUACCCGCUGAACUUAAGCAUAUCAAUAAGCGGAGGA
rnacentral:misc_RNA from 1 species